AAUAAAUACAGUUUUACACUAUUCACGUUCGACGUUUGACCGUUCGUCUUAUUUGAAAAUUUUUAUGAUUAGUAUUUUUAUUGCUAUUAGAUGAUAAAACAUGAAUAGUACUUUAUGUGUGACUAAAUAUUUUUAAACAAAUUUUCAAAUAAGACGGAUGGUCAAACGUUGGGCACGGAUAUCUAUGGCUGCACUUAUU
rfam:Oryza glaberrima chromosome 12 Oglab12_0022_18, whole genome shotgun sequence.